rnacentral:rRNA from 1 species
GGGAAUCUACCGUGCCCUGCGGAAUAGCUCCGGGAAACUGGAAUUAAUACCGCAUACGCCCUACGGGGGAAAGAUUUAUCGGGGUAUGAUGGGCCCGCGUUGGAUUAGCUAGUUGGUGGGGUAAAGGCCUACCAAGGCGACGAUCCAUAGCUGGUCUGAGAGGAUGAUCAGCCACAUUGGGACUGAGACACGGCCCAAACUCCUACGGGAGGCAGCAGGGGGGAAUAUUGGACAAUGGGCGCAAGCCUGAUCCAGCCAUGCCGCGUGAGUGAUGAAGGCCUUAGGGUUGUAAAGCUCUUUCACCGGAGAAGAUAAUGACGGUAUCCGGAGAAGAAGCCCCGGCUAACUUCGUGCCAGCAGCCGCGGUAAUACGAAGGGGGCUAGCGUUGUUCGGAAUUACUGGGCGUAAAGCGCACGUAGGCGGAUAUUUAAGUCAGGGGUGAAAUCCCAGAGCUCAACUCUGGAACUGCCUUUGAUACUGGGUAUCUUGAGUAUGGAAGAGGUAAGUGGAAUUGCGAGU